UGGUGUGAGAGGUUGAAGCUGCCAGCAUGAUCUGACCACCCAAACCUACUAGCUAGCUAUGCGUUGCGUUUGUAGCUAGUGCAAUUUCGUCAAUGGGGUUUCAGGGUUUUUCCUACUCGCACUGCGAUAGAUGCACGAGGAAUUCAUAUGUGUUCUCACACUGGGGUUGGUAGCUAGCUAGGCGAUGGCCAUGCAUGCAUAUGGAGCUUGCUAGCUACCUGGCUCUCCGUCAUCAGAUCAUGUGGCACCUUCACUCUCUCACCAC
rnacentral:pre_miRNA from 2 species